CAGUGUCUGGAGGCCGACCGGCGGCGUUUCCCUCACGGGGAGCGUCGUGGCUCGUGCCCCCUCCACACGUGUUUACUACACCCUGUUGCCUUGGUGGGUCUGCCCUUGUGGCUGCCGGGGGUCACCUUGUGUGCCUCGGGCCCGUACCCACCGAUGGACACCCUGAACUCUUUAUGAAUAUAGUGUUGUCUGAGCGUUUAGCAAAUUAAACA
rnacentral:misc_RNA from 1 species